UACGUAGGGUGCGAGCGUUGUCCGGAAUUACUGGGCGUAAAGGGCGCGUAGGCGGCCUUCUAAGUCAGACGUGAAAUCCCCCGGCUUAACCUGGGAACUGCGUCUGAUACUGGGAGGCUUGAGUAUGGGAGAGGGAUGUAGAAUUCCAGGUGUAGCGGUGAAAUGCGUAGAUAUCUGGAGGAAUACCGGUGGCGAAGGCGGCAUCCUGGACCAUAACUGACGCUGAGGCGCGAAAGCUAGGGGAGCAAACGGG
rnacentral:rRNA from 1 species